rnacentral:rRNA from 1 species
CAGGCUUAACACAUGCAAGUCGAGGGGCAUCAGGAAGAAAGCUUGCUUUCUUUGCUGGCGACCGGCGCACGGGUGAGUAACACGUAUCCAACCUGCCCUUUACUCGGGGAUAGCCUUUCGAAAGAAAGAUUAAUACCCGAUAGCAUAAUGAUUCCGCAUGGUUUCAUUAUUAAAGGAUUCCGGUAAAGGAUGGGGAUGCGUUCCAUUAGGUUGUUGGUGAGGUAACGGCCCACCAAGCCUUCGAUGGAUAGGGGUUCUGAGAGGAAGGUCCCCCACAUUGGAACUGAGACACGGUCCAAACUCCUACGGGAGGCAGCAGUGAGGAAUAUUGGUCAAUGGGCGCUAGCCUGAACCAGCCAAGUAGCGUGAAGGAUGAAGGCUCUAUGGGUCGUAAACUUCUUUUAUAUAAGAAUAAAGUGCAGUAUGUAUACUGUUUUGUAUGUAUUAUAUGAAUAAGGAUCGGCUAACUCCGUGCCAGCAGCCGCGGUAAUACGGAGGAUCCGAGCGUUAUCCGGAUUUAUUGGGUUUAAAGGGAGCGUAGGUGGACUGGUAAGUCAGUUGUGAAAGUUUGCGGCUCAACCGUAAAAUUGCAGUUGAUACUGUCAGUCUUGAGUACAGUAGAGGUGUGCGGAAUUCGUGGUGUAGCGGUGAAAUGCUUAGAUAUCACGAAGAACUCCGAUUGCGAAGGCAGCUCACUGGACUGCAACUGACACUGAUGCUCGAAAGUGUGGGUAUCAAACAGGAUUAGAUACCCUGGUAGUCCACACAGUAAACGAUGAAUACUCGCUGUUUGCGAUAUACAGUAAGCGGCCAAGCGAAAGCAUUAAGUAUUCCACCUGGGGAGUACGCCGGCAACGGUGAAACUCAAAGGAAUUGACGGGGGCCCGCACAAGCGGAGGAACAUGUGGUUUAAUUCGAUGAUACGCGAGGAACCUUACCCGGGCUUAAAUUGCAGUGGAAUGAUGUGGAAACAUGUCAGUGAGCAAUCACCGCUGUGAAGGUGCUGCAUGGUUGUCGUCAGCUCGUGCCGUGAGGUGUCGGCUUAAGUGCCAUAACGAGCGCAACCCUUAUCUUUAGUUACUAACAGGUUAUGCUGAGGACUCUAGAGAGACUGCCGUCGUAAGAUGUGAGGAAGGUGGGGAUGACGUCAAAUCAGCACGGCCCUUACGUCCGGGGCUACACACGUGUUACAAUGGGGGGUACAGAAGGCAGCUAGCGGGUGACCGUAUGCUAAUCCCAAAAUCCUCUCUCAGUUCGGAUCGAAGUCUGCAACCCGACUUCGUGAAGCUGGAUUCGCUAGUAAUCGCGCAUCAGCCACGGCGCGGUGAAUACGUUCCCGGGCCUUGUACACACCGCCCGUCAAGCCAUGGGAGCCGGGGGUACCUGAAGUACGUAACCGCAAGGAUCGUCCUAGGGUAAAACUGGUGACUGGGGCUAAGU